rnacentral:rRNA from 1 species
CCCUUAGAUGUCCUGGGCUGCACGCGCGCUACACUGAUGUGUCCAGUAAGCACCUAACCUCUUCCGAAAGGAACGGGUAACCUUUGCAAAGCACAUCGUGAUGGGGAUAGAUUAUUGCAAUUAUUAGUCUUGAACGAGGAAUUCCUAGUAAGCACAAGUCAUCAGCUUGUGUUGAUUACGUCCCUGCCCUUUGUACACACCGCCUGUCGCUCCUACCGAUUGAAUGUUCCGGUGAGCUCUUCGGACUGCGCGGUCUGCAGUUUCUGCGUUCCGUGCGGAAAGUUGCGCAAACCUUAACAUUUAGAGGAAGGAGAAGUCGUAGCA